rnacentral:ribozyme from 1 species
UGCUCAGCAACUGCUAUUCCUACCUCCACGUGGCACUGGCCGUGCUGCGAGCAACCUUAAGGUCGGGUAACCAACCCCAGUGGAAACUUUGGGCGUAUAGGCUGACAGGGAAGG